GAUGAACGCUGGCGGCGUGCCUAAUACAUGCAAGUCGAGCGAAUGGAUUAAGAGCUUGCUCUUAUGAAGUUAGCGGCGGACGGGUGAGUAACACGUGGGUAACCUGCCCAUAAGACUGGGAUAACUCCGGGAAACCGGGGCUAAUACCGGAUAACAUUUUGAACCGCAUGGUUCGAAAUUGAAAGGCGGCUUCGGCUGUCACUUAUGGAUGGACCCGCGUCGCAUUAGCUAGUUGGUGAGGUAACGGCUCACCAAGGCAACGAUGCGUAGCCGACCUGGGAGGGUGAUCGGCCACACUGGGAGUGAGGCACGGCCCAGACUCCUACGGGAGGCAGCAGUAGGGAAUCUUCCGCAAUGGACGAAAGUCUGACGGAGCAACGCCGCGUGAGUGAUGAAGGCUUUCGGGUCGUAAAACUCUGUUGUUAGGGAAGAACAAGUGCUAGUUGAAUAAGCUGGCACCUUGACGGUACCUAACCAGAAAGCCACGGCUAACUACGUGCCAGCAGCCGCGGUAA
rnacentral:rRNA from 1 species